rnacentral:sRNA from 12 species
AACCUAUACAGAUGUAUCAACGCAAGACAGUUGAGCAUCUCCCUGUAGGAACAUGUUUUAAUAGAAGCAUUGAUGAUAAGUCUUAUUGUGUAGAUUAUGAGUUGAAAUAAGAUGAGUCAAUGUGGAAUAGGUCAACCGUGAGACCUUGAAUUGGAAAAUUCUAAAAUAGACCUAGAAAUGGAGAUUUCUGAAAUUUCGUAUUUUCUAGUUACGGUAGA